AUGGAGCUUUAGACGCCCACCAAUCACGAAAAGCAGGUCUCGCUCAACGGACCCCCAAACAACGUGAUACUGGCACAAACGUCUUCGGUUGGGGCGACCGCGGGAGAGAAAGAAGCUCCCGAGAGGAUUGGGGCUACCCUAAAACCAAGAGCUACACCUCUAAGUCACAAAACAUUUGACCAAAAAUGAUCCGGCUACAUGCCGAUUAACGAACCA
rnacentral:rRNA from 1 species